rnacentral:rRNA from 1 species
ACUAUCAUUAACUGAAUCCAUAGGUUAAUGAGGCGAACCGGGGGAACUGAAACAUCUAAGUACCCCGAGGAAAAGAAAUCAACCGAGAUUCCCCCAGUAGCGGCGAGCGAACGGGGAGGAGCCCAGAGCCUGAAUCAGCAUGUGUGUUAGUGGAAGCGUCUGGAAAGGCGCGCGAUACAGGGUGACAGCCCCGUACACAAAAGCGCAUGUGCUGUGAGCUCGAUGAGUAGGGCGGGACACGUGGUAUCCUGUCUGAAUAUGGGGGGACCAUCCUCCAAGGCUAAAUACUCCUGACUGACCGAUAGUGAACCAGUACCGUGAGGGAAAGGCGAAAAGAACCCCGGCGAGGGGAGUGAAAAAGAACCUGAAACCGUGUACGUACAAGCAGUGGGAGCACAGGUUUACCUGUGUGACUGCGUACCUUUUGUAUAAUGGGUCAGCGACUUAUAUUCUGUAGCAAGGUUAACCGAAUAGGGGAGCCGGAGGGAAACCGAGUCUUAAUUGGGCGUUAAGUUGCAGGGUAUAGACCCGAAACCCGGUGAUCUAGCCAUGGGCAGGUUGAAGGUUGGGUAACACUAACUGGAGGACCGAACCGACUAAUGUUGAAAAAUUAGCGGAUGACCUGUGGCUGGGGGUGAAAGGCCAAUCAAACCGGGAGAUAGCUGGUUCUCCCCGAAAGCUAUUUAGGUAGCGCCUCGUGAAUUCAUCUCCGGGGGUAGAGCACUGUUUCGGCUAGGGGGCCAUCCCGGCUUACCAACCCGAUGCAAACUGCGAAUACCGGAGAAUGUUAUCACGGGAGACACACGGCGGGUGCUAACGUCCGUCGUGAAGAGGGAAACAACCCAGACCGCCAGCUAAGGUCCCAAAGUCAUGGUUAAGUGGGAAACGAUGUGGGAAGGCCCAGACAGCCAGGAUGUUGGCUUAGAAGCAGCCAUCAUUUAAAGAAAGCGUAAUAGCUCACUGGUCGAGUCGGCCUGCGCGGAAGAUGUAACGGGGCUAAACCAU